GAUGGAUUUGAACUGAGUUUGCUGCUUCCAAAAAAAAUAGAUUCAAAGGCCUUUUGAAUAAUGACAACGUCGUGCGACGUUUAAAGUUCAAAGGAGAACUUGAACACUAGCAGUGCCAUUGGGGGCAGAAACAAAAGUCAAAAGACAACAAAUUACCGACUACUGCAUUGGAAAAGUUGAAGAACUUCGAUGUAGACCUCUACCCCAUAAUUCAUAGUUUUCUUCGCAUGUUCUGCACACUUCCUGUGGCGGAUGAAAGAUCUGAACGUUCUUUUUCGACACUUCGCCGCAUUAAAACGUGGCUGAAGACAAAAAUGCUUCAAGGUAGUUUGAUCGGCCUGGCGUUGCUGCACACGCAUCAUGACAUUGAAGUCACUGCAGAAAAAGCAAGAUUGUCAAAACAUUGCAAUAAAAUAUGCCUCUGUCAAUUUAAAUAGUAGGAUUUGAUAUUAGAAGGUCAAUUUGAAAAUUUUCCACCAUGUUGAACUGUAUAAAGACUACUAUGUUUAAUAUAAUAAUCUGUUGCAUUCAAGUAAA